CAGGAUCCCACUCAGAAGUCCAUCCACGCCUAGGAGCAGAGCGGAGGCCAAGCCGAAGGUGGUGAAGACGGCAAAGUCAUUCAGCUCGGCUCCUGCCCCAGACGGCCCAAGAUCCUGACAACCUCAGGAGAUGGUGCUAGAAUUCUCCCCUAUUUUAUGAAUGAGGAAACUACAGUUAAAAGAGAGGAAGAUACUUGCUCAAAGUCACAUGGUAAGUAGAACCAAAUCCCAUCUGUUUGAUUCUAAAUCUGCUGUUUCUUCGCUGCAGGCAUAGAUUUCAGCAGGAGGAGGUGUGUGGGAUAUGGCAGUGAACGAGCUCAAUGGCCAGGCCUGCGAGGCAGCAGCAGCCUCCCUGUGUGUGUGGGACCGUCCAGCCCAGGCCCCCCAGUGCUCCCAGUCUCUCCCAGUCUCUCCCACAACAGGGAAUUGGCUGGCCCUGCCCAUCUUCACAGUCUGUCUUGUCUCUGUUUUUACUCUAAGACCACAUUUGUACACCUUACACUCAAUCUGCUUGAGAAACUGAGUCUCUUGGAGAAAGAGCCCCAUUCCUCCCCAAAACUGAGAAGCCCCGCUGGUUGGGGCAAAUGUACCAGCCACAAAUAGAUCCUGCACUUGAGUGAAAUAAACAAGUUUCAAGGUGUUCCCAGAUCUGUUUUCUCAUUUAAUCCUCACCCAUUUCAGAUGUGAGGAUUAAUCUCACCUCCAGCUCUGCCUCCAUCCAGCCCCUCUGUUCAGCCCCAGGCCCAUCUGGUCUGGACAAGAGCUGAGACAAACCAUGGUCUUUUCUCAUAAACCUGCCACCAACAUGCCAGCAGCUGGGAGGGCUGACUUGGAGUUUGGGACUAGAGUUUAUCAGGGCAGCACUGCUGGGCUCACUGCCUCCAUGGGCCAGCCUCACUCACCAAAGGUGAUCAGUAGCUACAUGGCCAGAGCCAUUGGGAUUCCUAAGACGUUCGUAUGCCAGAGCCCCUCCAAACCUAAGACAAGAAGCAAUGCAAGCCAGGGAAAUCUGGGAAGGGAAGGGGACAAAGGACUUGCUGCAUACUCCCUCCCCAUGAACCCGCUGUAGUGGUCUCUCCUGGGUCUCUGGGCUGACCCCAGCAAGAUCAAACAUCCCACUGUCUGCUGCUCAGAGCCAGUUAGCAGGUGCCCAGGGUCUGUCUACCACCUGUCAAGCAUUGCUGCUGCCUCUGUGCUACUUCACACUGGUUAAUUUUUAAUUAAUGGUCAAUUGUCUACUAUAUUAUCUCUUUCAUUAUCUCCUCCAUUCACAAACCACUUUCACAUUUAGGAUUUCCAUUGGCCCUGUGAGCUCUGUCAGGCAAGGGUUCU
rnacentral:lncRNA from 10 species